rnacentral:lncRNA from 1 species
AAAUAUACCCACACUUCUCGGCCUCUUGCCAACCCUUUUAUAAUCAGCUCCUAAACAGCCUUUGGAAGCAGAUUUUAGGGAAGGCUAAAAAGUAGGGGAAGUGCUCCAACUUGUGUUGCUGUGGCAACUUCUACAGAAGCUCAGAUACACUUGCUCUGCUUCAUGAAUGCCGCUUUACUUCUUAAAAUAUCGAUUUCCAUGGUGCAGAGAUGCAAUUAGUCAGGUCUGUAAAGGAGGAGGGUUUUUUUCUCUCUCUUAGAUGCUGGAAGGUCAGGUUGAAAUGAAACCUUUUCAUCGAUAUAAUAACAGUGGAGCUUAAAAAGCUAUUCCAGGUGUGCUUGGAUGGAGCAAUGGGUGGUGUGUAUGAAGGCAUCCCACCCCAAAGACCAAAGCUGUCAGAGACCACCUGAAGACAAUCAUUUGAAGGGGGCAGGGGUGGGUGUCAUUACAAUGUGGUACUUAGCAGGCAAGCCAAGAAAGCCGCCUAGGAAAUCCAUUCUGUGGCACUUUGGGUGGUUCAUAGAACGCUUUUAGGUUGCCUGUACAACUUAUGAGGCUCUGUGGUCCUAGUCCCUGACAACUGUUGGGCCGGCAACAGGUACCGAACAUUCGUUCUCUACAGGACAGGAUGAAAUGUCCAGUGGGUGCUGCCGGCAGAAGAAGAGGGAAGCACAAUGCCUGACCUCAGGAAUUGCAUCAUAAAAUGGAAGAAAAGCACAAAUAAAUGACACGAAAACAUGCAUUGCAAAAAGACAUCCUACUUCCUCCCCAUCCUCUUCAUCCAUUACAUCACUGCCAAAGAGGCCUUCUAAAAUGCACCACAGAAUCCUUUCCAGGAACCAGCAAUAGCCUCUUAUUACCUACAGAAUAAAAUUGCAUUCAUCUGGGUAAAAUUCUAAGCUUUCUUUCAUGUGGCCCCAACUAUAUUAUCAUCAUUUUUCUUCUGCGUGCCUUCUCCAACUGCCUGCUGCCGUAUUGUUUCUGCAUUGGCUUUCCCACAUUGCCUUUGACCUUCUCCAACUUGGCAAAUGUACUCAGCCUUCAAGGAUGACGUCUGACUCCACCUCUUCCAAGAAGCCAACCCUGACUCUCCUUUUCUUUGCCCUUUGCUUUUACCUUUAUUUUAGUAUUUGUAAGCUACUUGCUCUCAUGAGAGAUUUCCUCCCUGAUACUAGCAGCUCCUUGAAGGUGAAGACUGUGCCAUAUUCAACUCUGCAUUCUCCACAGACCUGAAUAGGGUGCUUUGUACAAAGCAACUGCAAAAAGUACCCACUGCACAUACAGACUUGCAGACAUGGGCAUAUGUCUGUGUGUGGUCAGUGCCCAGCUCUGCAGACCCAAUGAAGUUUGGCAGUUGUGGGAGAGAUUGGGCUGGGUUUGGGGUCAGAUGGGGCUUGUCUAAGAAGAUUAGAUUACAGAGGAGUCCUGAGCAGUGUUUUGCAGAAGGAAAAGAGCUAUCCUGGCGAAUAAAUAACAGACCACAGGGGAACCAGUAUGUGAAAAUGCUGGAGGGCAGGAAUAGAGGAGCCCUUCGGAACUUGGUCUGCCUGGAAUGCCAAGUAUUAACUGAGAUGUUCAAUGCAUUUAAAGGGAAUAAAGGAUUAUUUUUAAACCCUCUCGUUCCAUUUACCCUUCUUCCUUCCAUGAAGGCUGCAUGGCAGAAUGGAAGGAAUUGAGGCUUUGGAGCUGAGUGGCCUCGUUAGAGAGCCCACUUG